rnacentral:rRNA from 1 species
CGCUUUUGUACACCCGUAGGGGAGGUGUACGNAAUAAGAGCUGGGCAAGACCCGGUGCCAGCCGCCGCGGUAAUACCGGCAGCUCGAGUGAUGGCCCGAUCUUAUUGGGCCUAAAGCGUCCCGUAGCUGGCUUUUCAAGUCCGUCGGGAAAUCUCCCCGCUCAACGGGGAGGCGUCCGGCGGAAACUGAAGAGCUUGGGACCGGAAGGCGUGACGGGUACGUCCGGGGUAGGAGUGAAAUCCUGUAAUCCUGGACGGACCGCCGAUGGGGAAACCACGUCACGAGGACGGAUCCGACAGUGAGGGACGAAAGCUAGGGUCUCGAACCGGAUUAGAUACCCGGGUAGUCCUAGCUGUAAACGAUGCCUGUUAGGUGUGACUCCCACUACGAGUGGGUGUUGUGCCGUAGGGAAGCCGCUAAACAGGCCGCCUGGGAAGUACGUCUGCAAGGAUGAAACUUAAAGGAAUUGGCGGGGGAGCACUACAACCGGAGGAGCCUGCGGUUUAAUUGGACUCAACGCCGGACAUCUCACCAGCAUCGACUGUGGUAAUGACGGUCAGGUUGAUGACCUUACCCGAGCCACAGAGAGGAGGUGCAUGGCCGCCGUCAGCUCGUACCGUGAGGCGUCCUGUUAAGUCAGGCAACGAGCGAGACCCGCAUCCUUACUUGCCAGCAGCACCGCGAGGUGGCUGGGGACAGUAGGGAGACCGCCGUGGCUAACACGGAGGAAGGAACGGGCAACGGUAGGUCAGUAUGCCCCGAAUAUGCUGGGCAACACGCGGGCUACAAUGGUCGAGACAAUGGGUUCCAACGCCGAGAGGCGACGGUAAUCUCAGAAACUCGAUCGUAGUUCGGAUUGUGGACUGAAACUCGUCCACAUGAAGCUGGAUUCGGUAGUAAUCGCGGUCAGAAGCGCG